GACGGAAGGUGCAAGCGUUGCUCGGAAUCACUGGGCGUAAAGGGUGCGUAGGCGGCCGUGUAAGUCUGGCGUGAAAGCCCCGGGCUCAGCCCGGGCAGUGCGCUCGAAACUGCACGGCUCGAGUGCCGGAGGGGAGAGUGGAAUUCCUGGUGUAGCGGUGAAAUGCGUAGAUAUCAGGAGGAAUACCGGUGGCGAAAGCGACUCUCUGGACGGUAACUGACGCUGAGGCACGAAAGCGUGGGGAGCAAACAGG
rnacentral:rRNA from 1 species